rnacentral:lncRNA from 1 species
CUAAACUGUAUUUAUGGAGUACUAAGUUCCAGUGACAAGACAAACCUCAAGGAAUUUAACAGCCUGAAGUUUUCCAACCUGGGUUUGGAUGAGACAAGAAUGGAUGAGAAAAUUAAGGUGUGGUAAGGGUUGGAAUAAGUAGAAAAGGGCUUGUUUAAAGUGAUGCACCAGAUCCUGCAGAAGAGCAGCACUUCCGUGAGAAUAAGGAAGACAACAACGGUCCAUGUUAUGCCACCAUUGCGAUUCUGAUAGCGCUGCUCUAAUGAGACAAAACAACAGCAUCACGCAAGAACACACAAGAAGAUCCAAGGCUGAGGCAGGCAACGAGGUGGAAUCUGGGACUGAAUUCAGGAAGAGGUGGCGUGGUAGAGAGGAAAGCCCUGACAUCAACCUGCCUGGGGGGCUUCUGUUGACAUCGAUAGAAUGCCCACUAGGGGAGACUCUGUUCCGCUCAUUAUGGUAA